AAAUGAAUAGACGGGGGCUCGCACAAGCGGUGGAUCAUGGGGCUUAAUUCGUCACUAAGCGAGGAACCUUACCAAGGCUAGAAAUCUUACUGCAUACCUUAGGAAACUUUGGUAGCCUUCGAGGGUGUAAGACAGGUGAUGCAUGGCCGUCGUCAGUUCGUGGCUUGAGCUGUUCCCUUAAGUGGGGAAACGAACGCAACCCUCGUUGCCUGUUAUAAGUGUCAGGCGAGACUGCUCCCUCACGGGAGAGGAAGGUGAGGAUGACGCCAGGUCAGCAUGUCCCUAGAUGCCUUGGGCUGCACCCGUGAUACAAUGGGUGGUACAACGAGACGCAAUAUCGUAAGAUGGAGCAAAUCUUUAUAAAACCACCCUCAAUUCGGAUUGAGGUCUGCAACUCGACCUUAUGAAGUCGGAAUCGCUAGUAAUCGUGGAUCAGCAUCGCCACGGUGAAUACGUUCCCGAGCCUUGUACACACCGCCCGU
rnacentral:rRNA from 1 species